GGUUCUAUGGUGUAGUGGUUAGCACUCUGGACUUUGAAUCCAGCGACAUGGGUUCGAAUCCCAGUAGGACCU
rnacentral:tRNA from 1 species